rnacentral:rRNA from 1 species
CGUACAUCCAGAGUUUGAUCAUGGCUCAGGACGAACGCUGGCGGCGUGCUUAACACAUGCAAGUCGAACGAUGAACCACUUCGGUGGGGAUUAGUGGCGAACGGGUGAGUAACACGUGGGCAAUCUGCCCUGCACUCUGGGACAAGCCCUGGAAACGGGGUCUAAUACCGGAUACUGACCCGCCUGGGCAUCCAGGCGGUUCGAAAGCUCCGGCGGUGCAGGAUGAGCCCGCGGCCUAUCAGCUUGUUGGUGAGGUAACGGCUCACCAAGGCGACGACGGGUAGCCGGCCUGAGAGGGCGACCGGCCACACUGGGACUGAGACACGGCCCAGACUCCUACGGGAGGCAGCAGUGGGGAAUAUUGCACAAUGGGCGCAAGCCUGAUGCAGCGACGCCGCGUGAGGGAUGACGGCCUUCGGGUUGUAAACCUCUUUCAGCAGGGAAGAAGCGCAAGUGACGGUACCUGCAGAAGAAGCGCCGGCUAACUACGUGCCAGCAGCCGCGGUAAUACGUAGGGCGCGAGCGUUGUCCGGAAUUAUUGGGCGUAAAGAGCUCGUAGGCGGCUUGUCGCGUCGGUUGUGAAAGCCCGGGGCUUAACCCCGGGUCUGCAGUCGAUACGGGCAGGCUAGAGUUCGGUAGGGGAGAUCGGAAUUCCUGGUGUAGCGGUGAAAUGCGCAGAUAUCAGGAGGAACACCGGUGGCGAAGGCGGAUCUCUGGGCCGAUACUGACGCUGAGGAGCGAAAGCGUGGGGAGCGAACAGGAUUAGAUACCCUGGUAGUCCACGCCGUAAACGGUGGGCACUAGGUGUGGGCGACAUUCCACGUCGUCCGUGCCGCAGCUAACGCAUUAAGUGCCCCGCCUGG